UCUCUCUCUGUCUCUUUACCCUACCAUCCGACGAUCUACACAGUGAACCCAACACAUCCGACGAUCUACACAGUGAUGAGCGACGAUCUACACACUGAACCUCUGACCGACGAUCUACACUUCUGAACGGCGAUCGAUUUGCAUUGAACGACGAUCGAUCUACAGUGAGGUCUCUUUCUCUCUCUCUCUCUAGACGAUCAAUCGAUUAAAUAGAAGUUAAUCGAACGACGAUCGAUCGAUUUGCAUUAAACAGGAGUUAAUAUUAUAUAUAUAUAUAUGCUCUAAUAAUUUAUAUAUAAGUGCCAGCAACACCAGCAACCUUUAUUGUAUAAAUUAGGAUAGAUUUCUCCUUUCCCUUCUCAUAUUUGCUAUGUUUUGGAACUUUAGAUGCGUUUGGAUUUUGGCUUUGUGAAAAGGAAAGGAAUUAAUGGGUCUGUGAACAACAAAAAAAAAAAAUGAAUCUCUGUUGUUAUUUUUGUUUAGUUAACCAUAAAAAAUGAAUAUGAUAAGGCCUUGCAUAAAUACUGAUAAGGGGUCUGUCAAUUAUUUUUUUGUUUAGUUAACCAGAAAAUUGAUUUGUUUUGUUUAGUUAAUGGGUCUGUGAAUUAUUUUUUUGUUAAGUUAACCAUAAAAAAUGGGUCUGUUUAAUUAACCAGAAAAUUGAUUUGUUUUGUUUUGCUUAAUUAAUGGGUCUGUUUAGUUAAUGGCUUGACUACUGUGUUUCUGUGUAAUGUGGAAAUGGUUAAAAAAAUUAACUUCUUUAGUUAAUUUGGGUUUGAUUUGUUCUAAAUUUAUUCUGAAAUUUGGGGAUUUUGUGAUUUGUUCUUGCUUGAAAGCUGCCCGUCGAAGCUCUGGUCCUUAAACUUUAAUUGGUGUUUUAUGUCGAUCUUGCUUAUUUAACAUUUGUUUGGUUGCCGAGAAACAGAGCAAAGGGAUAAUGAUUGCAUCUAUUAGUGUUUUUUUACAAAAAUGGAAAGCUGUCUGCUCUCAUCUUCUCCUAUCUUGAUUUUAUUUAUUUGUUUAUUUUAUUUCAAAUUACACUCUCACUAACCAAAAACAAGUUUUCUUUUUAUUUCAAAAAUGAUGUGAGGAGAUUCUGCCAAGCUACUGGAUAUAGGGGUACUGUUCAGCGCCGUGAGAGUGUUGAAGAAAAGAUUGCUCGCCAUGCUCAAGACAGAACACGUACCACCAGGAGAAUUAAGGAGUUGAAGACAGACAUUGAUGUUCCUGAUGACGUUAUUAAUCAAUUCAAGAACUUCUGGUUGAAUUUCAAAGAUACACCUUUAAAAGGGAGGAAUGCCAUUCUGCGAGGUAUAUGCCCACAGAUUUUUGGACUCUUCACUGUAAAGCUUGCAGUUGCAUUAACACUUAUUGGAGGUGUGUAACAUGCUGAUGCUUCUGGGACGAAAGUUCGAGGAGAGUCUCAUUUGCUUCUGCUUGACAUCUAGAUGAAAACAAGUAACCUAAUCGUUGUGCACUAUGCCAAAGGUUAGG